UACGUAGGGUCCGAGCGUUGUCCGGAAUUAUUGGGCGUAAAGGGCUCGUGGGCGGUUCGUCACGUCGGGAGUGAAAACUCGGAGCUUAACUCCGAGCCUGCUUCCGAUACGGGCAGACUAGAGGUAGGCAGGGGAGAGCGGAACUCCUGGUGUAGCGGUGGAAUGCGCAGAUAUCAGGAAGAACACCGGUGGCGAAGGCGGCUCUCUGGGCCUUACCUGACGCUGAGGAGCGAAAGCCAGGGGAGCGAACGGG
rnacentral:rRNA from 1 species